UACGUAGGGGGCUAGCGUUGUCCGGAAUCAUUGGGCGUAAAGAGCGCGUAGGCGGCCAGAUAAGUCCGGUGUGAAAGUCACAGGCUCAACCUGUGAAUGCCGCUGGAAACUGUCUGGCUAGAGUCCGGAAGGGGCGAGUGGAAUUCCUGGUGUAGCGGUGAAAUGCGCAGAUAUCAGGAGGAACACCAAUGGCGAAGGCAGCUCGCUGGAACGGUACUGACGCUGUGGCGCGAAAGCUGGGGGAGCAAACAGG
rnacentral:rRNA from 1 species